rnacentral:rRNA from 1 species
GGUUUCCGGCGUUCUUACACAUGCAGUCACGGGGGCCCAGCAAUGGGCAACCGGCGAACGGGUGCGUAACACGUGAACAACCUGCCCUCGUGUGGGGGAUAGCCGUGCUAACGCGCGGGUAAUACCGCAUACGUUCCUUGAGAGGAGUCUCUUGAGGAGGAAAGCUCCGGCGCACGGGGAGGGGUUCGCGGCCUAUCAGCUAGUUGGCGGGGUAAUGGCCCACCAAGGCGACGACGGGUAGCUGGUCUGAGAGGAUGGCCAGCCACAUUGGGACUGAGAGACGGCCCAGACUCCUACGGGAGGCAGCAGUGGGGAAUCUUGCGCAAUGGCCGAAAGGCUGACGCAGCGACGCCGCGUGUGGGAUGAAGCAUUUCGGUGUGUAAACCACUGUUGCCCGGGACGAACAGCCUGUUUCGACAGGUCUGACGGUACCGGGUGAGGAAGCACCGGCUAACUCCGUGCCAGCAGCCGCGGUAAUACGGAGGGUGCGAGCGUUGUCCGGAAUCAUUGGGCGUAAAGGGCGCGUAGGUGGCCUGCUAAGCGUGCGGUGAAAGCUCGGGGCUCAACCCCGAGUCGGCCGUGCGAACUGGUGGGCUUGAGCACUGUAGAGGCAGGCGGAAUUCCGGGUGUAGCGGUGGAAUGCGUAGAGAUCCGGAAGAACACCGGUGGCGAAGGCGGCCUGCUGGGCAGUAGCUGACACUGAGGCGCGACAGCGUGGGGAGCGAACAGGAUUAGAUACCCUGGUAGUCCACGCCGUAAACGGUGGGUGCUAGGUGUGAGCGGUAUUCCACGCCGUUCGUGCCGCAGCUAACGCAUUAAGCACCCCGCCUGGGGAGUACGGCCGCAAGGCUAAAACUCAAAGGAAUUGACGG